UCCGUAAUGGUGUAGUGGCUAGCAUCUGCCGCUCUCAUUAGCAGAGCAACUAUGAAAAGUGUACCGGCAAGACCGGGGUUCAAUUCCCCGUUACGGAA